GACCAGACUCCUACGGGAGGCAGCAGUGGGGGAUAUUGCACAAUGGGGGGAACCCUGAUGCAGCGACGCCGCGUGGGUGAAGGAGCGUUUCGGCGCGUAAAGCCCUAUCGGCAGGGAAGAAGGAGGACGGUACCUGACUAAGAAGCCCCGGCUAACUACGUGCCAGCAGCCGCGGUAAUACGUAGGGGGCAAGCGUUAUCCGGAUUUACUGGGUGUAAAGGGAGCGCAGGCGGCGCGUUAAGCCUGGUGUGAAAGCCCGCGGCCCAACCGCGGGACUGCAUUGGGAACUGGCGCGCUGGAGUGCCGGAGGGGUAGGCGGAAUUCCUAGUGUAGCGGUGAAAUGCAUAGAUAUCACGCAGAACUCCGAUUGCGAAGGCAGCAUACCGGCGCCCAACUGACGCUGAAGCACGAAAGCGUGGGUAUCGAACAGGAUUAGAUACCCGAGUA
rnacentral:rRNA from 1 species